rnacentral:tRNA from 1 species
GGGCGUGUGGUCUAGUGGUAUGAUUUUCGCUUCGCAUGUGAAAGGUCCGGGGUUCAAUCCCCCGCACGUCCA